rnacentral:rRNA from 1 species
AUUGAGCGCUGGCGGCAUGCCUUACACAUGCAAGUCGAACGGCAGCACGGGUGCUUGCACCUGGUGGCGAGUGGCGAACGGGUGAGUAAUACAUCGGAACGUACCUUAUCGUGGGGGAUAACGCAGCGAAAGCUGUGCUAAUACCGCAUACGCCCUGAGGGGGAAAGCGGGGGAUCGCAAGACCUCGCGCGAUUAGAGCGGCCGAUGCCUGACUAGCUUGUUGGUGGGGUAAAAGCCCACCAAGGCGACGAUCAGUAGCUGGUCUGAGAGGACGAUCAGCCACACUGGGACGGAGACACGGCCCAGACUCCUACGGGAAGCAGCAGUGGUGAAUUUUGGACAAGGGGGGCAACCCUGAUCCAGCAAUGCCGCGUGAGUGAAGAAGGCCUUCGGGUUGUAAAGCUCUUUUGUCAGGGAAGAAACACCGGCUCUAACACAGUCCGGGAAUGACGGUACCUGAAGAAUAAGCACCGGCUAACUACGUGCCAGCAGCCGCGGUAA